CAGGAAUCGUACCAGCCUGGGGAACAUGGCGAGAUCCCAUCUUUGCGCGUCGGGAGACAAGGUCUCUCACCCAGGGUGAUCAUAACUCACUGCAGCCUCAACCUCCCGGGCUCAAGUGAUCCUCUCACCUCAGCCUCCCUAGUAGCUCAGACUAAUGACCUGUACCAGGACACCCAUACCCAGCUAAUUUUAGUAGAGACUGUCAGGCCUCAGAGCCCAAGCUAAGCCAUCAUAUCCCCAGUGACUUGCACGUAUACAUCCAGAUGGCCUGAAGCAACUGAAGAUCCACAAAAGUGAAAAUAGC
rnacentral:lncRNA from 1 species